CUUACCGGCAAACCUCGAGCGGCCCCGGCAGCCGGGCUGGGCCCUCCUCUUUCGUGAGGGCUUGGUCCGCCUCGGGCCCUCAGCCCGGCGGCGCGCGGGGGUCGCGUUGAGCCUCUCGGCGGGGAGGGAAGGAAAGCCGGCGGGGCUGGGUCGCCCAUUCCCGCCGCCUGCGGACACCCGACUCUGCCUGCCCCCCCCUCCUCGGAUACGCCUCCCCGGGCUGUUCUAACGGAAGACCCCGGCUUCCCGGCAGGCUGGGAAGCGUUGCUUGCAUCGAGGCUUUUAUUCAGUUGGGGAGGCCGCCCAGGUGGCCCAGGACUGAGGGCGGUUGGCUAAUUCAAUAGGGAAAAGGGGGGGGAAUACCGGUAGGCCCCUGCUUACGAUCAUAAUUGAGCCCCAAAUUUUAUGUUGCUAAACAAGACAAAGUGAGUUUUGAUCCAUUUUACGACCUUUGCUUGCCGUAGUUCCUAAGUGAAUCACUGCAGUUGUUAAGUGAAUCACUGCAGUUGUUAAGUGAAUCACCGCAGUUGUUAAGUGGUUGGAAGCUUGGAACCAACUUCCAGCGAAGUAGGCUCACUCCGAGGAGGGAGUAAUGAAACACCCUACAGUUCUGACACUACAGAAAAGAAAAAGAAAAUCAGGAGAUUGUUUCACUUUCUUUCUUCAGAACGAAACCCAGCAGAAAUGAAAGUGUGGGUGGAAGCCUUCAAAGUAAGACCCCCUGUUCCAGUUACGGAGAGAAGGGGUGUAGGGUCCCUUGGCUUGAGGAAGACAGAGGAGCCUACCAGUCACAUCUCUAUGUACAUGUGUGCAGGUAGUCCUUAACUCACAAACAUAAUUGAGCCCCGAAUUUCUGUUGCUAAGUGAGACAAUUGUUGAGUUUUGCCCCAUUUUACAACCAUUCCUGCCAGCUGUUAAGUGAAUCACUCUAGUUGUUAAGUUAAUAACACAGUUGUUAAGUGAAUUUGGCUUCCCCAUAGAUUUUGCAUGUCAGAAGGUCACAAAGGGCCUUGGUGGCUCAGGCUGUUAAUUGCCUGCACUUAAGUUCCAGCUGCCUACAACUGCUGUAGGCUCGAAUCCCACCAGGCUCAAGGUUGACUCAGCCUUCCAUCCUCUCAGGGUAGGUAAAUUGAGGACCCAAGAUUGUUGGGGGUAAUUAGCUGACCUUGUAAAAAAUGCCGCUUAGUAAUAAGCAGGCAUAUACAAUGGAAUGAAGGCUAUUGCUGAG
rnacentral:lncRNA from 1 species